CACCACAUUCGGGUCCGUACCGGGUGGGAACGACGAUGGCACCAGAGCCGCGAACGGGCUUCCGUAGCCCGGAGCCGACGGCGGGUAUCCACCCCCGCUGCUUCCGUGGCUCUGGUGAGGCUUCUCUGGCGCGUACGGCGCGGCGUACGGUGCCGAUGGUGCGCCGUAGGGUGCAGACGGCGCGCCAUAAGGUGCAGCCGGCGCUCCGUACGGUUGCGCUUGGUGUUGGUGGGGCUGGCCGGGUUGGCCUGGCUGGCCUGGCUGCGGCGCGGCGUAGGGUUUGCCUGGUGGAGGCGUGCUGCCGUAGCCGUAGCCGGGGGGCGGGUGUGGGUAUCCAGACAUUUUUAAUUUUGUUUUCUAGUAGAAUAGAAGCUUUUUGAAGAUGAGAAAAUGUUCUGAGAAUUUCAGAGAGGGCUUUGAGCUGAUGGAAAACAGAUCUAUAUAUAACUGAAGUUGAAAUCUCGGACCCGAAGAACUGAGUAAUUACAUCGUUGCCCUUGGCUUUAAAUGUAAUAAUAAAAAGAAUUUAAUUUUUUAAUUAAUUUUAAAACAACUAAUUUAAUUUUAAAAUAAGUAUUCUAUCUUAUUUAAUUAGCUAGGACUAAUCUUCAUGAUUAAGGUCUAAAGUUUGGAUUGUGAAACAAUUUGAUUAGUAAAAAAAAUUAAAACCAUGUGCUUGCCUGGAUUAAAACAAGGGUUAAAUGUUAAAAUGGUCCAUGUGUUAUAGUUAUUUGGCAAAUUUAGUCCAUUUGUUUUUAAUUUGGCCAAUUUAGUCCAUGUGUUUUACUCUGUUAGCCAAUAUUGUCCAUUAGGUCAAAUUACCAUUAAAAAAUUCAUUGAAAUUUUUAUAAGUAAUAAAAAAAAUUAUUAAGUUCAAUUUAUAAAAUUAAAAAAAUUUGGAAUCCUAACAACCUCUAUGCCCUUCUUCUCUCAUGCCGUCACCACCACCACACCCAUCAUGGCAACCACCAUGAGCAGUCCCAACCACCACCUAUUCUCUCUCUCUCUCUCUCUCUCUCUCUCUCUCUCUCAUACCAGAACAAAUGGAUAUAAACCGUAAAGUUAUUAAAAGAGAAUAUUAUCAACUUCAUCUCAAACAACCUCAACAUUGAAAUCCUUAUUGAGCUUCUUCUAGGGAGGUGAAGAUGAUUUCAUGGCAUCAAGCCAACCGUUGGACUAACAUCAUCGAGCUUUCCUUGCUUUUUCCUGGGGAUGUAUCUGUACUUGCCAGAGGAGAAUGAUGCUCCUUGCUGUGAGUAUGGCAACAAACUAGAAUGGAGGCCUAGUCUUGAUUUAGCUCUCGGUGGAGGCGGCAUGAGAGAACGACAUAGAGGCUAUUGGGUUUCCAGAUUUUUUAUUAUGUAAUUAUAUUUAAUUCUGUUAUUUGUGUUUAUAAUUUUUAUUUAUUUGUAAACUGAACUCAAUAAUUUUUUAUUAUUUUUUAAAGCUUUAAUGAAUGUUUUAACUUAAUUUGACGGCAUGGACAACAUUUACUAACGGAAUAGAACACGGGAAUUAAAUUGGUCAAAUUAAAAAUACGGGGAUUAAAUUGGCCAAGUGAGUAAAACACAGAGACCAUUUUAGCAUUUAAGCCUUAAAACAAUAUUGUUUUCUCUUUUUUUCUAUUAACAAAAAUAAAAAGAAAUGGGAGAAAUCCUCAAAUUAAUUUUUUUGUAAUAAUUACAAGGAACUUAGGUUCCAUUCAGUUCAUGAGAAAGGAAGUUUGGGUAUGAGAAAUCAAUUGCUUUCUCAUGUUUGGUAAGUCUAUGUAUAGGAAAUGGUUGCCGUCACAUGAAAAAGUAGGGAGAAAGUGAAGCCCUCCUCUCAACUUAGGUUUUGUUUUCGCUUAUCAUAGGAAUGUUUGGGAAAAUGAGCCAACAUUAAAUGCAUAUUUUUCACGAUCAUUUUGUCCCCAUUAACAAUUUAGAAUUACAAUAUAUCAUUAAAUUCAUUUUUUUAUUUGUCUUAAUGCUUAACAUAAGAGAUGUUAUAAUUGUGAAUGAAUGGGAAAGUGUUUGCCAGCUUUAUUUUCUAGUUUUGGCCUUUCUUCCGGCUCUACAUCUCUUAUGUUAAGCAUCAAGACAAAAGGUAAUAAUGAUUAUUUUUUGAGAACCUCGACGGAACGAGGGAAACUUUAUUGAUAAAGCGAAGAAUGACAACGGGGGGGACAAUGUGUCUGACCCCGACUUAACACAUCACACAAUAGGGCGUCCUGAAUAAGAUCAGGGGGCACCUCAAACCAAAUAAAGUUGUCCACAUUAUGCAAACCAAAACGAGCAAGUCGGUGUGCAACACCAUUUGCUUCCCUAGGAGUAAAUUGAAAAAGAGAGCUAGGAAACUGUUGCUGAAGAUGCUUUACAUCUUCAACAAUGGUACCAAUGUUUGAAUAAUCCUGUCCUGCUCGCUUUAUUGCUGAAACCACCACAGCAGAGUCCCCUUCGAAGAUGGGAGAUGCAGUCCCAAGUGAGAGAGCAAGAGCCACCCCUUCACGAGCUGCAAGAAUUUCUGCAUGUUCAGCCGACAGCACUUCCCCAACUGAUUUUGCCACUGCCGCCACAAAACCUCCAUCCGCGUCUCUGGCAACAACCCCAACAGCCCCUCUACCCGAAGUAGGAUCAAAUGCUCCAUCAAAGUUAAAUUUGAGGCGGCCUGACGGUGGUGCUGCCCAACGCACUGGAUCCCGCACCCGAUCAGUUACUUUGGACGGAGUAUCAUUUGCCGUAAUAAAUUCAUGCACAUACUGUUGAGCAAAACCCACGACCUCAUGUGGAGAACGCUGGACUCCCUGCCACAACAGUGCAUUUCGAUUUCCCCAUAUAGCCCAUAACAAAGUGAUAAUAUGAUCCCGUUGCGCUUUACUUGUACCCUCCAGCAUUUCUCUCAGCCAGUCCUUCAUUGUAUGACAACGUACCUGAUGAGCAUGCCUUGUCAACAAAGAAAUAUUCCAAGUAGCCACUGCAAAAGGACACAUAGCAAGAACAUGCAGAGCACUUUCAGUGAUGUCACCACAAAACAUGCACAUGUCUUGCAUAUCAACCCCCUUCUUAAUUAAGUUUGCCUUGGUAGGAAGAAUAUCAUGGGCUACACGCCAUGCAAAAAUUUUAAGCUUUGUAGGUACAGUGGCAUUCCAAAUAUGUCUCCAUAGCAUACCAGUAUCUGAAUUGGAUGAAGAAGACUCGUCCUCAUCACCAGAAGUAACUCGCAAGGCCACUCUGUAUGCACUCUUUACCGUGAAUAGACCAUGUUUAUCAUAAUUCCAUACAAUCCGGUCUGGUGGUGCCCGAAUACUCAGGGGGAUUCGUACAAUGUCAACCACAUCCACAGGUAAAAAAAGAUUAUUGAGUUUCUGGAGAUCCCAUUGUGGAGAGCCCUCAUUACAAAUCAACUCACUCACCUUGGUAUUCUCCAUACCAUCUAGGGGGGAAGUGAUCACAGCAAAAGUGGCAGGCCUGGGCACCCAUUUAUCCCCCCAAAUUCGUACUGAUUUUCCAUCACCUAUUUGAAAUCUUGAUCCCAUUUCCAACACUUUUCGAGCCGUCCAUAUACUCUUCCAAACACAAGAUGGCCUUGACCCCAGUGUAGCUUCCCAAAAGUUGGUCUGUGGAAAAUAUUUGGCUUUGAGAAGUCUGCUCGCCAAUGAGUGGGGAUUAUGAACCAAACGCCAACCUUGCUUGGCUAGCAUUGCCAUAUUAAAAGCCUGCAAACACCUAAAGCCCAUACCACCUUCAGUCUUCGCUUUGCAUAAUCUCUCCCAGCGCAUCCAAUGAAUUUUCCUAUUUUCCCCUUGUUGACCCCACCAAAAACGUGCCAUCAUUUGUUCUAUCUCAUGACAUAACCCCUGAGGCAAAAGGAAACAGCUCAUAACAUAUAAGGGAAUAGAUUGGGCAACUACCUUCAACAAUACCUCUUUUCCUGCAAUGCUCAAAGUCUGUUCACGCCAACCUUGUAAUUUUUUCCAGACCCUUUCCUUCAGGUAUCGAAAACAAACGGUUUUAUUUCUACCUAACAUCAUUGGGAGGCCAAGGUACGUUGCAUGAGAGUCAACCCGAGGAACCCCUAAUACACUAGCCAAGCGGCUUUGGGUAUCCAUAUGAAUAUUGGCACUAAAAGCCACACAACUUUUUUGACAAUUUAUCUGUUGACCAGAAGCAUGCUCAUACACUUCAAAAAUGUGCUUUAACACCCCACAAUUAUUAUCAGUCGCCUUUGCAAACACAAAACUGUCAUCUGCAAAAAAUAAGUGGCUGACUGUAGGAGCUCCCCUACAAAUAACGAUCCCUUGCAGCUGCCCUUGGCGUUCUGCCUUUGAUAGCAACGUGGUAAAACCUUCCGCACAAAGAAGAAACAAGUAAGGCGAUAAAGGGUCACCUUGCCUUAAUCCCCGUGUUGGGUAUAAAAUCCGAGUAGGUUCACCAUUCACCAAGAAUGAGUAGGAUACAGUUGUCACACAAUCCAUAACCAUCCUUACCCACAGAAUAGGAAAACCCAUAGCCAACAUCAUUUUCUCCAAGAACUCCCAUUCCACACGAUCAUAUGCUUUACUCAUGUCCAAUUUCAGGGCCAAACUCCCCUUCCGUCCUCGUCUCCUUUGUUUCAAAAAAUGAGCGAUCUCAAAAGCCACUAUAGAAUUAUCUGUAAUCAACCGUCCAGGGACAAAAGCACUCUGACUUUCUGAAAUAACGCUCUGCAUAACAAACUUCAUACGAUUCGCUAAAGUUUUUGCUCCAAUACGAUACAGAACAUUACAUAGACUUAUGGGGCGCAACUGAGCCAUGGUUCGUGGCUCCUUAACUUUUGGUAUCAAAGUCACGAAAGUAUGGUUUAGUUGUCGUAACAUCUCAUUGGAUUGUAAAAAAGCUCUAACAGCAGCCACUACAUCAUCUCCUACAAUUCUCCAAUAUUUUUGAUAAAACAAAGGAGGGAGACCAUCUGGACCAGGUGCUUUUGAAGGUUGCAUUUGAAAAACUGCAUCUUUAAUCUCCUGAUACGAGAAAUCUGCUAUUAGUACCUGUUGCAUAUCUGCCGUCACUUUAGGCUCCAAGGCAGAAAGAAUUUCCUCCAUCAUACUUGACCCACUGGAGCGGAACAAAUCUCCAAAAUAAUCAAUUACAAUGGAUGUUAUUCCUUGUCGAGACGUACGCCAGCAACCGUUGCUAUCCUCCAACCCCUUGAUAAUAUUUCUUCUUCGUCUAUUAGUUGCCUUUUGGUGAAAAUAGCUAGUAUUUUUGUCCCCCGCCUUUAACCAAUUUUCUCUAGAUCUUUGACACCAGUAUAAUUCAUUCUUCGCCAACAGCUCAUCAAGGGAUUUUUGCACAACCCUUCGAUCCUCUUCCACCCUUUCAGAGUAAGGGGCCUGAAAUAAACUAGCCAAUUUUGCACGCAGCACUCGAGUUUCCUCCUUGAUAUGUCCAAAGGUACUUUUACUCCAUCUUUGGAGCACCCAAGUCAUCUGCUUUAUCUUUUUGUCCAAGCCCACCAUAGGAUCAAGAUUACCCACAGACUCCCACACCUGUUUUAUUGUUUUUUCACAAUCCACAUGAGUGGUCCACAUUGCUUCAAAGUGAAAACGACGAUAUCGGCUUUUUUGGCACGUUGCAUGCCUUAUUCUCACUAAAAUGGGGAGAUGGUCUGAACGGCUUGGGUCUAAAUGCUGAACGGAAAAACCCGGAAAGAGAUUUUGCCAAGAUGUUGUAGCCAACGCACGAUCCAGCCGCACUCUAACGAAACCAUCUCCAAAGCGGCACUUCCAAGUAAACUUGUACCCAUUAAAGCCCAAAUCUCGGAAACCCAAUUUAUCCACAAUGUUUCUAAAACCUUGCAUCUGUCUGUUAUUUCUUAAAGGACCACCUUCUUUUUCAUCCGUGCUAAGAAUUUCAUUAAAAUCUCCUACACAUAACCAGGGCAGUUGAUUAUGGUGCCCUAAUUGAUCCAAUAAUAUCCAUGACUUCUCCCUAUCUUGCACCGCUGGAAAGCCAUAAAAAACAGUCAAUCGCCAUCGAUCUCCACCUCCAUUAGAACCAAUUUGUACAUCUAUAAAAUGAUCAGAAAAAGCACAAACAUGGACAUCCACCUCUUCCUUCCAUAACAAUGCCAAACCUCCCGAAUAACCUCUACUACUCACACUUGUCACGCCCCUAAAACCAAGUUGUUUUGAUAGUUUCGCCAUGUGAGCACUAUUACAACGAGUUUCACAUAGAAAAACAAUCUUGGGAACUUCUUCACGAAUGAUACUUUUCAACCCAUUAACUGUCGAGGGGUUCCCAAGCCCCUGACAGUUCCAGCUUAGUAGAUUCAUGGCUUCCGGCGGGGCUGAAACGAGUCAGCCACCGCCGAUCCCACAGAGCUUGAAGAAAGAUCCGAAAAACAUCUUCUUUUUUGAGCCGGUAAAACAUCUCCAAACACCACUGCCUUGGGGUCCCUCUUCCUACCUCGACCUUCAGGUUGUGUGAUCUUACCUCUCACACGGUUCGCACUCCGUCCCCGACCCUUAGCACCAUAACUAGUCCUCCCAUGCCGUCUUUCAUUCCCUGCCUGUCUAGUGGCUUUAGACUGCAUGACUUGCCUGAUUAUAGGACUCAACCCAAAAGGAUCAGAAUCUUGUUGGGUUCCAACCAUGUCUAAGCCCACACCCUUCCUCCCAUCAUGUGUUGAAAUAAGCCCACUCCCUUCAUUGGGCCAACUUUUACUCCCAAUACCCCUAUCAUCAGCAAGUCCAAGGCCCCCAUUUAACUCCACGUCAUUGAUAAUUGGAAGCAAAUCAGUACAAUUCCAAUUAGUCCCACAAUCAUGCUGCUCAUUUAAAGCUAACGUUAGCUGCCUAUUAGAAUCCGCAAUACACUCAUGAUUGGGCUCCCAAUCAAUCCCCAAAUUAAGGCUGAGAUUUAAAUCCGGUAAUACAGGGCGACUCAAAUUUUCCAUAACGUGCAAGUUAGAAUUACUAGCCAUAAUUGGAGCAUUUAAUGGCUGUAAAACUUCCCCAGUAAGAUUCUCUUUGUCCAAUCCAACACCGCCGCCAUGACCGUCGUGAGCCACCUCUACGAACUCCUCCACCUCCUCUUCCAUAUCUAUUGGUGCCUUCAUAGACCAUCCAGGAGGGUCAGAGAUCCCAAAUCGCCUUCCCAGGGGUCUACGAUAUUCAGGUCCAAGAAUGUCUUCCUGAAACCAUCGCCCAUAGGGUUUUGCCACAUCGUCUACUUGUUCUCCCUGAAACUUGUGGCAUUGACUUUCAAUAUGAUCGAAGCAUCCACACAGGUAGCAAACGUGCGGGAGUUUUUCAUAUCGAAGGUCAACCCAUUCCACCUUACCCUCUUGCAACUGAAUCGGCAAACAACGCCUUAGUGGUUUGGUAAUAUCUAAGACAACUCGGAUUCGCAAAUAGCUUCCAAAACAUUGGCCCCGCUUGCUUUGAUCUGUGACCACAUACUCCCCGAUCUGUUGCCCGAUCAUCUUACCCAUCUCUCGAGUCAUGUAGAUUAAAGGCAGACCUUUCACUUGAACCCAGAACUCUUGUUGGCAUAACGGAAUCCUCGUCGAGUGCACCAAGUCAUCUGCUUCAGCAAGAACUAGCAGGAAAUGAUUAAAUGUCCAUGGACCUCCCCGUAAUAUUGUCGCCCUAGCCGCAUUCGUCUUAAAAGAGAACACAAAUAAAUCUGCCUCCAAGUCUGCAAUGUCCACCUCCGCCUUUGGCCGCCACAGCAUAUGCAUGGUUCGUUUAAAGGCUUCUUUAUUGAUCGAUUGUCUCGACAGAACUUUACCCACUAGUAGGAACCUUGGUGUUUUCAACGUUCCUGCUUUGUCUGGCUCCACAACCAGUGCCUGUUGCUCCUCCUCAGUGAGAGAAAAGCGAGAAGCAAAGUUUUGCAGCAUAUUCUCCAUGGUCGUGAAAAGGAGAGCCAACAGUGCUCCUCCCCUAUCCGCACACCACACUGCCUGUUGCAAUCCUCGCCAACAGCAGUCUCGUAUCAUACAGAGGUACUACAAUCACCACCGAGAAAACCAGCCGUCUUCUCGGUCCGCCGCCUCCCUGGUGUUUUUAACUCUCCUAAAGAAACCUAGAGACCCGUAAUUGUCAUAUUAUUCUUACAUGAAAUGCAUAUAUUUAUUUUAUGUAUUUAAUGAUUAUAUUAUCAAUGGUAUCGAGAUAUUAGACACCUCUUACUUAUAAAAAAAAUUAUAAAAUAUGAUGUGAUUGUCGUCACACUCUUAUGUCGUGUUACAAACUAAUUCACGUGUUAUAAAAUUUAAGCUACGGUUUUGGCAAGACCAACUUUUGUUUCCAUUUGCAAAAGUCUUUGUGAAGGUAUCAUAUCAUUUCGACCUUAUAGAAUUGCAAGUUGAAUUCAGAACCAGUUCUCCACCUUAAUUCUUAAGCCAUGGAAUUUUUUUCAAUUACAUAAAGCAAUAAUAUUAAUAUCCGUUGAGAGUCGUGACCCACUAACUCCAUCUUCAGCCAAAUAACCUUUCCUUUGCUUCUGAACACGUGUCAUUGACCCUCCUCCAGCCAAAGAAGGAAAACAGUACAGAUGUUAUAAAGAUUAUAUCCUAAAUUUGCUAAAGAGUCUGCAAUCAUAUUUGUUUCCUACAAAUUAUGGGCAAAUUAUAACGACUUGAAAAUCUUAAAGGAGGAAAUUAAAUUAAUUACCAAUUUGGAUUGCUGUCACUUUUUUAAAAGCUGCUUCUGUUAUAUUUUGAAAAUAAUCAACUAUAAACUAAAGUAGUUUCAGGUUUGGUAUAAAAAUUAGUGUAAAACAGUUUGGUAAUGUCAUUUAAAAUAAUUUAUGAUGGUAUUACAUGAAUUGAAAAAAUAUUUACCCUUCAUUUGGAUAGAGGAAAAUAACUCGGGAUUUAGCUAAAAGUCAGGAAUUGAAAAGAAGAAAUUGAUAUUUUCAUUGUUUGGCAACUUAAACAUGAAACUUAUUAAAUGACGCACGGAAAAAAUCGUGGAAAUUGGGGAUUGAGAUUCUUGAAUUUAAUUUCCAUCAAAAGAGUCGUCAUUUCACAAUUCCAAUUGAUCAGGAAUUUGUUUUCACUAUAAUUUUUUUUAUUUACAAAAUUCAACAUAUAUAAAUCCUCGAGAUCUCCUUCAAUUAUAUAAUUGAAAUGCUAAUUUUCAAUUUAGGAUUGCUGUUACUUUUUAAAAAAGCUACUUCUACUAUGUUUUGAAAAUAAUCAGUUAUAAAGUAAAAUAGUUCCACGUUUAAUAUAAAAAUUAAUGUCAAACAAUUUGAUAAAUUUUAGUAUAAAACUAUUGUAAUUGUAGAUAACGAUUAAAAUGAUCAUAAUAUUGAAAGUGGCGGUGGUAGAGAUUGAGGUAAUAGUGGUGGUGACGAUGUUAUUGAAAUUUUUUGUUAUUAAAAAUAAAUAAUUAAACUUUAUAUACGCAAGAAUAAUAGAAUUAGAUUAACAUACUAUUCCACUUUUGAAAACCACUUCCUGUUACUUCUUACGUCUGUAAUUGUGGAUUAAAGGAUUUGCUAGAAAUUUUAUCGAGUCUAGUGUUAAAGUGCUUUAUUUUUUUCUUCUUUUUGGUGAAAAGAGGAUAGACUUUGCCAAUAAAAAAAACCAAAAAGCAACACACUUUACGGGCAAAAAACAAACAUGGAUGCUAAGCGAUUAGAGGAGAGGAUUUGCUCAAAGCAAAAGGCAAGUCUGGUGGGCCAUAUAGAUUAUUUUUUUUUUUCGAAGCUUACUUGGGUUACAGCCAUAGCCCUCCCUGUAGUUUCCUCAGUGCUCCCCUCUCUCCUUCUCUCUUUCCCCAUUUUCAGUGACAUAAGAUUUUUAUUUAUUGUCUUCGUUUUGUUAUGAUUUUUCUCCACCCAUAAUAAGUGGCUGCGUCUCGACGUUGAAUCUCCACCUGUAAUAAUAUGUGAAAAUUUUAUUUUAAAAGUAAAUAUAUUACGUUGGUCCCAAAAUUCAAACAAGUGGUAAAAAAAAAAAAAACUAUUUCAGAAGAGAGGAUAAAAAGUAGACCAAUUAGAACAAAUCCAAUCAAUAAGAUCAUAAUUAGUUUGAGGUCCCUUAAGUCUUAAAGAAGAAAGUUGAUUCCAAAGGUAAAAAUGAUAUAAUUAAUGCAUGAUUUGAUCAUGAUGUGCGUAAAAUGAUAAAUUAUGUAAAAUAAUUCGUACCAUGAUCUUUAUAUAUAUAAAAAAGAGGCUGCUAAGACUUUGAAGUGGCCAGAGGCUCUAGUGCGAACCACUAAAUGAGAAUCUUAAAUGAGGAUUAGUCUGAGUCGUCCAAAUUGAUCUGAACGGAUGAACAUGUAAAAUUAAGCUUUCAGUAGAGGCGCUGCCAAUGGCAUCUUCCUGGCAAAGAAGAAGACUCAGGUGCGAUUCGUUUCAUCACGUCUGGUUUCAUAUAAAACUACGUGGUUUUGUUUAUAAAGUCUUUUAUUUUAACAAAAUUCUGUGUUUUGAUUGUUUUAGUAUGAAAAAGAGUUGAAUACAUUUUUGAUUGGGUUUUACAUGAAAAUUUAAUUUGGUCACUGAGAAUUUUUUUAAGCCAAAUAGGUUACUGUGUUUCCUAAAGUUUAUAAUUUAAAGACAUUCCAUAUCUUCUGUUAAGUGCAGUUCUUCCUCUAAGGCCUAGUUUAGGAUUUCUGCCGCUUUAAAAAAAAGCUGCUCUUGCUGUGCUUCAAAAAGAAUUAAAGGUAAAGUAAAGCAAUUAAACGUUUGGUAAACUGUAAUUUUAAAAGUGUUGUGAGUAUGAAAAGUUUGGUAAAAUUUUACUGUAAAAGUGUUGUAACUAUUUAUAAUGACUAAAAUGAACAUGAUGCUGAAAGUGCUUUUUACUAAUCUGUUUGGUAAAAAAUAAAACUGUAAAGUGCUUUUAUACUUUUCUCCCUAAAAAUUAUAUUAAUCUUUAUUUAAAGAAAAGUAAAAAUUCAAAUUCAAAUUCAGAGAGAACAACAUUAAAAACUAUUACACAUGUUUCAUUUAAUUAUAAUAAACAAACAACAUUAAAAAAUAUUAAUAACAUACCUCAAUUUUGUCAUGCCACAAUUCAUCAAAAGCAUCAAUAGUCCCAAGUUUGGAAUUCCACCAAAGACCAGUUUCCUUUCCAAUUCUUUCUAUAUUUUCCACUAUUCUUUAAGUGCAUCCCACUUAUUUAUCAAUUGUGAUUUAUCGUACUCGGCUCUUGUAUCUUUACUCAAGCUAAUCCUCACAUUUUCCCAUCUUUCUUUCUUAAAGUGAGUACAAGGAUGAUUUCCUGCCUCCACCUCCUUGAUACACAUGUUACAAAAUAUAGUUGUAUUGUGAUUAUUACAUAUAGCCGGAACUCAUGAUCCACUAGCCACAUUAUUAUUUUUCACCAUCUAUGCAUGUCCUUAUAUAAAUAUGUAUGUAUUGGGAGAUGAACAUGUUAUAGCAAACAAUGUUUUUACUAAAAACAUACAUAAUGCCUAAGUAAUUACCUAUAGGAAAACUGGGGCAAUAAGCCCCUUAAGCCGUAAUUUAAACUUGAAGACAAUUCGACUCCUACCAAAUUUUCGGUAAAGUCUUCUCUGUAAUUAAAACAUUUUUCAAAUUACAGUACCCUUAAACGAGCAUAGAAAUAAUCCUAACAGGUAAGGGCACACAUAACAGUUAAGACUAUUGAAAUGGGCAUCCUGCCCUCUACCUGAACUUAAAGACGAGCAACUAAGAGCAACUAAAAAAUUUAAAUUUACAACCUGGGAAUAAAGACAAUGGGUUAUGAAGGAAGUCCUACGGUGUGGACAACGGGGAUGCCUCGACGUAGUGGUCUCAACCUCAGAUAUCUAGAACUUUGGGGGCACAAAACAGAAAAUGUGAGUAGACGAAAAUAAAGCUUGAACAUAAAUUAUACUCAACAUAAUAACCCCCUCUGUUUUAGAAAAUAAUGCCAAAACACCAUGCAAUAGAUUUCUUCAGCAAAAGUACAUAAUGUCAUCCGAUAUUAGAAAAUAUUUCAAUUCAGUAAAAUUAAUAUCAUAACGUACAAUAAGGAAAACCAUAUAAUCAAUACUUCUCAAAUUAUUGGAAAACAAUGUAAACUUAUUAAUUUAAUCCUAUAGGGACUUUUUCGUUCAAGCAGCUGCAAAUGGGCCUGGGCUGCUAUAAAGAGCAAAUGGAUAUAGUUGCCCCUGUGCCAAGUUUAAGAAUCAGGCCCCAAGAGUGCUUUGAAAAGUUUGUGGAGCCUUAGGAAGCACUUUGGUUCUUUCACCAACAAGACAAACAACUGUUUACAAAUCAAUAUUAUGGCUUGGCCUGAGGAGCUUGUGGCAUUCAAGCUAAGCCUCUAUGAGUUUAGCAUUAGAGAGAGAAAGCUUGGAUUUCUUUUGGGAAGCAGAGUUUUAGAGCAAGUGGAUAGGAAAAUUUGGGAAGAUUUGAUGAGAGAAGAGAGGGAGAGAUGAGGGUGAAAGAAUGAGUGGCUUGAUUAGGUUUUCCAACAGCUUGAUGAUUGCUUGGUCGUGCUUUAGAUGGUUGUCUCGCUGGGUAGGAGGUGCCUCCUUCUAUAGGCGCUGAAAGCCCUUUUUGGUUCAAGAACCCUAGCUAACUUUCCCCCAAAUUUUGUCAAGUCCUUUCCUCUAUUUCCCUUCACUUCCUUCGAUUCAAUCCCUUUGGGUGAGAAUUCCUUAAUCUAAGCACAUUGAGAUAGAACAUUUUCGGACUCCAAGGUUUUCCUGCAGCUGAUUUCUUCCAUCUUGGGUGAGGUGCCUCUUGCAUUUCCUCUUGGUUUUCCUACUAGAACUUGCAGAGGAAAGAACGAGUAAGGGUGUUGGUCUAAAAUGUGUCUUACUUCCAGCAACCCGUGCACAUGGGUUUUGCUUGGUUUUAACGAUGGCUUGGGUUUGAUUUGGUUUUAAUAGGGUGCUGGGAUAUUUUCUAAGAUGCUAGGUGUAAGGUUUUUUUCGUUAUGGCAGCUACUGAUAAGUCUGGGCUGUUGUAAAGAGCCAAAUGUGUGAAAUUGCCCCUUGAGUCUGAGUUCAAGGAUCAGACCCUAAGAGUGUUUCGAAAGGGUAGCUGAGCAUUAGGAAACACCUUGGUCCCUUUCACCAAUGAAACCAACAGUUGCUUACAGAUAAAUUCUUGGCUUGGCAUGAGAAGCUUGUGGCAUGAGAGCUGACCAUUCAUGAGUUUAGCAUGAGAGAGAGAAAGAGCUACGAUUUCCUAUGAGAAACAGCAUUUUUAAGGCAAGGGGGAAGAGAUUAUAAAGGGGUUCGUUGAAGAGAGAGUGAUGGGGGAAAUAACAAUAGGUGUGUUAAGUAGUUUUCGGCAGCUUGACGAAAGCUCUGUCAAGCUCUGGAACGAUUUACCAUAGGAGAAAAUGGGAGAAGAUAGAGAAAUGAGGCUCGAAAUUGCAGAGGUUUAAGGGAUGAGAGAUGAAGCUUACUCUCUGGAUAUGGGUUGCUUGCCUUUUUUUUAAGUUUAUCGGAAAGAGAGAAAGAAGAUAGAAGCAUGCGUGGCUUUAACAGAUUUCCAGCAGCUUGACGAAAGCCUCGUCAGGCUCCUAGGUUGCUUGACAGAAGAGAAAAUGGGAAGAGAUAGAGGAAUAGGGCUAGAAAUUGAAGUGUUCCAGGGAUGAGAGGUGAUGCUUGCUCUCUCUAGAUGUGGGUUCUAGAGGGGAUGCUUGCCUUCGAUGAGUUGAAGAUGACUUGGGUAGAAAGUGCCUCCCUUUAUAGACGAUGGAACACUCAAUUUUAUCAAACAACCCUCUCCCAUUUUCCUUUACUUUCUUCCAUUCCAUCUUAUUUGGUGAAACUUUCCCAGCUUGAGCAUGUAAGCAUGAAGCUUUUUGGAGUUCCAAGCCCUUCACGCAGCUGGACUUCUCCAUGUGGGUGAGGCACCACUCACUUUUCCUUCUUGUUUUCUCACCAAAGCUUGCAGAGGAAAGAAUGGGUAAAAGUGCUAGUCAAAAGGUGAUUUACUUCCAUCAGCACAUGGGUUUGCUUAGUUUUGGUGGUUUAGCUUCAAUCUGGUUUUAACAAAGAUGCUGGAUAUUUCCACGACGUUGGAUAUUUUAUAAGGUGCUGGGCUAUUUUGUUUCCAGCGGCUUGUGAUUCCUUUUGAUUUUGUCAAGCUGCUGGAAGCUUUGGCUGAUGUGGGAUUUUUUCAUGUGUUAUAGGCCUUUUCUUAAGGUGAUGGGCUAUUAGGUUUUCUCUCUCAUGCUUAACCAUAUGUUUAGGCUCAAGGAAUGGGCUUGAAUUUUGAUGCUCCCAAGUAGCCCAAAACUUCCACUCCUUGGACCAUCAAUGGGCCUCGUGAAUACUCUUAACUAUUCAUGCCACAACCCGUUCAGUAAGCCCCAAGCAUUAGCGUGGCUUGGACCCACUUAAGCUUGUAGCGUGGUGUGUUGCUUAUUUGCUUGGCGUGGCAUGUGUGCAAGAGCAUAUGACAAACUCUUGCGUACCCAAGUUGGGUUUCUUCCCAAGUUAGGUGUCAUACUGAGCUAGAAAUAUAUUUGGGCCCAGCCUUUGAUUUUUUGGGCCUCAACACUGGGCCAUUUCUCUAAGGUGUUGGGCCAUUUCUUUAAGGUGCUGGGCUGUUUUUUCUCUCUUAUGCUUACCCAUAUAUUUGGGCUCAAGAAAUAGGCAUGAAUUUGGUGCUCCCAUGCAACCCAAAAUUUCCACUUCUUGGACCAUCAAUGGGCCUUAUGAACACUUGUAACCAUCCAUACCACAAUUUGCUUAGCAAGCCCUAGGCAUUUGCGUGGCUUGGACUCACUUAAGCUUGUAGCAUGGCUCGAUAUUAAAAUAAAGGUUAUCUUCGCUCGACGUUGUGUGUCAUUUGGCGUGUUUGUGCUCAGGCUCUGCCUCAUUGUAACGGGAUAUGGCUGGGCCCAGUAGUGCUUGACAGGACAAUGAGCGUGGAUUCUUGGCGUGGCAUACAGAUCAUAACUUAUGUACACAUAUACGACAAAUUCCUGUGUACCCCUAUCGGGCUUCUUUCUCGAUUAAGUGUUAUACCGUGCUAGAAACAUAUUUAUGCCCAACCUUAGAUUUUACGGGCCUCAACAAAUCCUUAUUGUAAAAUUGUAUAUUCAAAUAUUCAUAUAUGUGCAAAGUACUCUCAAUACACAUGCUCAAGAAACCUCAACAUGGAAAUAAAUCCACACAUAUAUCCACACACACACACACAAACUUCACCAUCCUUAUUUACCGGGGAAAAACAAUUCAAUACAGGGACUAUUUUUAACUAGACCACAUGGCAGAAUCCUCAAUACAUAUAUGGUUAGGUACAAGCGGUCUAACCGAGACUAUUGCUCCCCAGACAAGCACUACAUAAUCCUCAAUACACGUGCAGUUGAAAUAAGUCUUAUGCUGGCAGACUGCUCGUUAAGGGCCUACGGCGCAUCCCACCAAGGAUGCCCGGGUUUCAGAGGGUAAAGUGAGACUCAAAUUAAGUUUCAGGGGACAUAUCAAUAAUUAAGCAUUUCUUUUUCAAUAGACAUUCACAUCUGAUCUUGGCUCAUAGACAUUUCAUCCCUCUUUUUGAUUAUUUAUUGUCUUGAUGGAUCCUCCACUCUCUUUAGACUAGGGCUGUCUUUCGGCCGGAUCGGAUCGGAAACAGCAAUUCCAAUUCCAAUCCAAUAUCUUUCGGAAUUCAAUAUAGAGUUCCGAUUCCGAUUCCGAAAAAAUUUGGAAAUUUUCGGAAGAUUCCGAUUCCAAAUAGGUUGUACUUUUAAGUCCCUACACAAAAUGACUGAGUUUGAAGAUAUUUAUAAAUGACUAAACACCUGAAGUUUAUUCUUGCAGUCGAUAUGGGACUCCAAGAAGAAAUGAGAGUGCAACUUCUCUCUCCACUCUUUUCUUGAUUUCUACUUGGUUACUCAUCCAUCACUUCUCCUCUCUCUUCCGUUUCUUCCUUUCUAAUCCAUGAAUGCCAACCUUCAUUUUCUUUCUUACUUAAAACUCUUCAGAUAUGGAACAAUAUGUACGGAUCCCGUUAGGAAAAAAACAAAAACACUUCUCCAACCAAAAAAGAAAUCAUUCUUCAAUUCUUUAUCUCUACUGUUUCUUCUCUUGCAUUUUUAUUUUUCUGGGUUUGCACUAAAUCAUUUAUCCAAUGUAUAUGUUCUCCAUUGAAUCCUCAUUGGAGCUCUUCCCUUGUUGCAAUACCCCAUACCAUCCAGAUUUUUUCUUUAUCAUUUAUUUUUCUGUUUCUGCACAAAUUCAUUACUUUUUUGGUAUUGAGAUGGAAUGAAAACCUUUAAUUAAGAAAGAAAGAAAAUCAAAGAAUGAGUUUUAAAAAUUUAGAAAUGUUUCAUUCUUUUUGUCGUCACUUCAAUUCAAUGUAGGAUUGGAAAAAAAACGCAGAUGGUUUUUUUUUAAAGUUAUAAUUGCCUUGGACCUCCUCUUUCUGAUUAUCCUUGGAACCUAUUAUAAUUGCCCAAGGCAUAGCUUAUUUUGAAAAUUAUAGCAUGUUUGAAUUCACCUUAUAUAUAUAUAACAAUCUAUUAUUAUAUAUACAACAAUCUAUAUAGUAUAUUGAUUAUUAAUCAAAGUAAUUUGUCCUACAUAUUAUAUAUUUAUAUUUUGUUCAUGUGAAUCAAAUUUUUUUGAUUCCAUGCUAAAGAUGGAUUCACAUUCAUCAAUUGAUGCUCAAGACUCAAGUUAUAGCCGAGUGACUAUCACAUUGGUUUUAGAUUCUAGUGGGUCAUGAACAUGUAUAAAGAGUGUUAGACGUUAAUCAUGCUCUAGACAAUUGUAAUACUACAAUUUUCAGGUUGGAAUACUACAAUUGUUAAAGCUCCAAUUAAUAUACGCACAUUAUAUGUGGUGUUUCAUGUAUAAAAUGAUUUUAUAAUUAAAAGUUUAAUUGAAGAUAGUUUAUAAUUUUAAAAAUACAUACAUAAAUAUAAAAUGAAAUAGUAUAAUACUUCCUACAUUUACCAUAUAUGUACAUAGUACAUAUGGAUAUAACAAGCACACAUAUGCACCUUUUUGUUAUAUUAAAUCAAGCAUAUUUGCCAAAUAUAUAUAUAGUCUUAAAGUUACAUACUACUAUGUUUAGUUUUUUUUUUUUUUUUUUGUCAAGCCUAUAUUUAGUAUGUACAAAUAUUUGUAUGUGGGUACUAAAACUUAACAAAUAAGAAAUGAAAAAUAUAUAAGACCUAUAAACUAAAAAUAAUGCAAUUAUACUUAGAAACUCGGAAUUUUUCGGAAAAAAAUUGGAAAAAUCGGAUCGGAAUGGAUUCGGAGAACUUCGGAAUUUUUCGGAUCGGAAUUUCGGAAUGUUCGGCAUUUAUCGGAAUUUUCGGAUUUCGGCAUUUUCGGAUAUCGGAUUUAUCGGAGUCGGAUUUUUUUGGAAAAAAUCGGACCGGAAUCGGUCGGAAUCGGAUUUUCCAAUCCAACUUACACCCCUACUUUAGACAAUAGGAUAAUAAUUUUGUUUCAAGUUGUUGGCGGAGCAAUACGAAAAUAUAAACUUCAGGUUUAAUUAUUGAUGUGCCCCUUGUGCUUUACCGAAAAUCCCACUUUACCCCCUACAUUUCAAACUAGGUCACUAUACCCUAUGUGCUUUAUUUCGUCAAUUGGUUAGUAAAACCGUUAACUUGCUGACGUGACAUAAAUAUUUUAGUAAUUUUAGCUAUUAAAAAAAUUUCAAAAUCUAAUUUAAAUAUAAAAAAUAAUUUUUUAAUUUUUUAAUAAUAUUUAAUAAGAUUAGAAAGAUUAAAUUUUUUAAAAAAAAACUCCAGCACCCGAAUAGCCCCACCACCACACCUCCCACCAUAACCCAAUCCAACCCACCUAGCCACCCAUGGUCAUCAUUCCACCAUGGUUCAAAUAUGAUCUCCUUACCUAAGUGAUAUACCCACCCCAAAACAUUGAUAACACUCCCUCCAAUCCACCUAGCCAUCUUCACCCCUUAGCCAUACUCACCCUUAGCCGCCACCCCAAAUUCACACCCAACCUCAAUAAUCCAAUGUGCCCCCAAGCCGUAGCCAUCCCAAUAGAGUACCCAAACACCAAAACCCCAAGCUGCAACUUCUCUUUCCUUUUCCAACUGGGUUUGUGUUUACCCUUUUUAUUUUUGAGCAUGUGGAAACCUUUAAGUAAAAAAUUUCAUUGACCUUUUGACCAUUAAUGGUCUCGAGAAUCAACUUUCUUUUAUGUGAGCGUGCCACUGUCAGCAGCUUAUAGUUGUAACAGAUUUGAAUGACUUUAUAUACUUGCGCCCUAAGUAAUAGACUUUAAACAAAUGAUUAUGAUUUUGGGUGGGGAAACCUCCCGAGAGAGUUCUUUACUACGCCUCAGACUGGUGAGGACGUCACAAUUUAUCUACAUAAAAAUGGUAAGUAAAGCAAAAUACACAAAUUCAUGAAAGACAUAACAAACUAAUUCAGGCAGAACUGCCCAAAAUACAAAGCAUAAAAUGAAUUGUUAAGUCUGGAUAAGCCUAAGAAUUUUUAGACUUUGACUUCUGCUUAAAAAUAUAGUCACAACGGUGGUUUAAGAUUAGACUAGAUUGGGUCUCUUCUGAUUGGACUGGAUGUUUCUGCACUGGAAUUGCACAUCAGCAUCUUCAACUAAUAGAGAUUAGCUGGAAAUCGAUACUAAUAUUGAGAUUGGCAGAGUUAUAAACAAGUUGAACAUAUAGAGGUUGACAAGGUGAGCAGAACUGCAAGCUGGUACUUGUUCUUGCUGAUUUUGAAUGAUCUGGUAGCCUUCUAGACAAUUUUAAAGCGUCAAUGUGUCUUUCUUAAUUUUGUUCAGGUUCUCAUAUGAUGAAAUACCUGACUUCUAUAUAUUUUAUCUAAUUUUCUGAUCAAAAUUUAUAAGCGAAAUUAAUCUAUUUUGAAUUAUGUCUGAUUUACCUUAUCUAGAUUGCGAGGGAAAUCUUGUUUUCUUCUUGGUUUUAUGAACUUCUUCUUGAUCUGGAUUGCUUAUGAAGGAAGAUUGCUUGCUUGCUUUUGUUGGUUGCAAGAUCGUGUGAUCUUUGAUUUCUUUUGAUCAAUCUGGAUUGACUGUUGGGUUUUUGCUUGAUUGGUUGGUUGGGUGUCCGUUUCUCCAAUCCAGAUACUCUUGUAUUUAUAGGAGAAAAUGUGAUGAUGAAUAAUGCUGGAUAUUUCCGAUUUUGGACUAAUCCCUCAGCAAUGCACAAGUGGCAAAAGUUUUGUCAAAUAACGCAUUGAUCAUUUUUGGCAUCUACUCAUAUAUGUUCCUAAAUGCCUCCUUAUCAUUUCUUUUGCAACAACCAAACUGAAGUGAGCAAUAAUGCCCAGAUUCUUCCAAUGUUAGUACCAUAAAUAUCUAAAUAUCCUUGUGGUAAAAAAAAAUCCUCCCAUCUUGUAAUAAAUAGCCGUGAUUUCCAACAAAAGUAAGUCUGAAUUCACUUUACAGCUUUCAUAGUCAUCAAUUUUAUUUGGAGUCUAGUUAUCAAUGGUGAGGAGUCUUUCUGACAUAUCUUAACAACUAAGAAUUUGUGAACUUUGUGCUAAAACUAACUCAAAUAAUUUGAUCCUUGGAUUAAAUCACCAUUGGUGGUAACUUAAUUCUCGAUUAUCAAAAUAUUGUGAAUUAAUUUAAAUUAAUCCCCCUUUUGUUUGAAUAGUAUGAGUCAUUCGCCAUUUUUUGGUAAAAUAAAGCCCAAUAUCAAUUUGAAAAGUGAACCCAAUACUUGUUUCAGGUUGGCGUGUAUAUUUCAGGCCCAAACAAUUUGUUUUCAUGCCUGUCCUUUUCCCAUAUUCUUUGUGCAGUCAUGAAGAACUUUAUUUUAUUUUUCAAAAUUUUUUUACCACAGCAGAGGAGAAACCGGGGUGCGCGUGAUGGGGGAGGGAGGGGAGGAUGGCCAUGCGUUAGGGGUGAUAGUUGGUGAUGGGAUGGGGAAAGGUUGGAUUAUUGUGGGAGGUGUGGUAGCUAUUCGGGUGCUCGUUUUUUAGAUUUUUAUUUAUCUUUCUAAUCUUAUUUAUGAUUAAAGUAUUUUAAAAUUAUUUUUAAAAUUUAAUUUAGAUUUUGAAAUUUUUUAAUAGCUAAAAUUACUAAAGUAUCUAUACCAUGUCAGCAAAUUAACAGUUUUACUAACCAAAUUGAUGGAAUGAGAGAACGGGGGACACGCCAAUAAAGCACAAAGGGCAUAUUGACCCAGUUUGAAAUGUAAGGAAUAAAGUGGGAUUUUUAGUAAAGCACAAGGGGCACAUCGAUAAUUAAGCAUAAAAUUUAAUAAUAACAAUAGUUAUCUUUUUGUUUUGGUGAGAUAUGAGGAAUCCUCAGAAAACAACAACUAAACACCGCACAUGAGUCGAGGCCUAGUAAGACAAAGUAAGUCAUCCAUCAACAGAGAGCUAACCCAGACAGGAGCCUUAUCAAAAAAGCAAAUUCCAGGUCCAUAUUAUAACUCUAGUUUGCCAAAUAAUCAGCAACACAAUUCUUUUCCCUUUAAAUGUGGAUAAGGUGAUAAUUUCCAAUUUGUCUCAUAAGAUCACAACAACUAUGCACCAAAGCAGCAAGAGGAUGACAUUGCAAUGAAUUGAUUUGUUGAACAAAUGAGAUAGCAACAACAACAUCCAUUUCAAUAGCAAGGUUAGUGAUACCUUUCUCAACAGCAAGCUUUAGACCAAAAUAUAGGCCCCGAACCUCAGCCUCCAAGAUAUGACCUUGGCCCAAAUUCACAACAAAAUCGGCAAUCCAGCCACUUGAGGAGACUUGAAUAACACCUCCUGCACCAAUAAUAUUAGUGGCAGCCUUUCUAGAACCAUCCACAUUCAGCUUAAGUUGGCCAAUUGUACGAGGUUUCCAAGCCAAAAAAACAUGUACUCUAUCAGGUUUCUUGCCAAAGCCAUUAGCGGCUUUAACCCAUUCAACAACCGCAGUAAAGAUGGUUUUCCUAGGAUUAAAAGGCAAAUCCACUUCAACGUUAAAAAUCGGCUUGUUACGCCAAUUCCAGAUAUACCAACAAGUAAUGGCAAAAAUAAUAUUCCAACCAAUACCAUUAGGGCUUUUAACCUUAGAGAGCAGAUUGCCUAAGAACUAAGGUUUUAGCUCAAAUAGGAAGAAGUGAGGAGAAGAAUAUAAAUUUAAAACAAAAUUCCAUACCAUCAUAGCCCUGGGAUAGUCCCUAAGAAUAUGAAUAACGGAUUCAGUUUGCCAACCACAAAGAAGACAAGAAGGAUCAAAAGUUAGAUUCCUCUUGGUUCUUUGCUCAUUGAACAAGAUUUUAGCUUGAUAAGCCAGCCAAAUGAAGAUAUGAAUUUCGGGAGGGAUUUUCAUUCUCCAUAAGUCCUUCCAAAAGGGAUCAACAUCUCCCAAUUCUCUAAAAAAAAAAUAGAGUAUGCAGAUUUAACAGAGAAUAAGCCAUUUGAAGACAAACCCCAAAUUUGAGCAUCAUGUACAGAGUUCCCAAACCCAAUAGGAACAACAGUGAUUUUUUGAACCAAAUCUUCAGUAAGAGCAUUCCUCAGCUAGUCUACAUUCCACCAACCAUUCCUAAAAAACCUGUCAAAACUGCAAUUCAAUUCUUGGAUAUUCAACACUCCAUUAUGUUGCAUUAGAGGUGUAUCAAAUAGUCAUUUAUCUGUCCAAAAUUUAGCCAAAUCACCCUUUCCAACCCUCUAGGUCAUUCCCUUUGCAAGCAAUUCAACUCCAAAAAGAAGACUAUUCCAAGUUAAGGAGUACAAAUGUCUUGUUUUCAAAUUAUGAUCAAUAAUAGAGUAACCCUUGAGGUUUUUCUUUUCAAAAAUCUGAGCCCAUAAGCCAUUAUCUUUGUUGUGCAUCCUCCAACCGAUUUUAGCCAACAAAGCCUGAUUCAUGUCCUAGCCUUCUUGAAACCCAAACCACCUUUGUUUUUAGGUCUACACAGUAGAUUCCAUUGGAAGAGGUGGACUUUCUUCUUCCUAUCACUUCCUUCCUAGAAGAAUUUUCUAUUUAACCUAUCCAAUCUUCACAAAUACUAACAUGUAAUUUUGUGGUCUGCAUAGAAUAUAUGGGAAUAGCAUAUGUGAUAACAUAGAUUAGGGUGGCCCCUCCCAGCUGAAGAAAUCAACUUACUUUUCCAAUUGGCAAGCCUGCAAUGAACCUUACUAAGCAAACUGCUUUAAGUGGAUCGAGUUACCCUAGAGUGCAAGAUAGGCAUCCCCAAGAAUUUUCCUAAGUUGUCUGUUGAAGGGGAGCCACAAAUGAAACUGAUCUCUUGAGCUAACGCCCUGCUGGUAUUAGGAGAACAAAAUACAGAAGACUUGUCAAAGUUGACAGUUUGACCAGAGGCUUGACAAAAUAAAUCCAAGCAUCAUUUCAUCACCCUAGCUUGUUGCGUACUAGCUUCAGUGAAAAGGAUUAAGUCAUCAGCAAAAAACAAAUGCGAUACAACAGGACCAGUUUGGGAGGACCUAACAUGUUUCCAUUUCCCCUAUUGAUAGCAUCAAAGAUGAUAUGAGAUAGCUUUUCAAUGCAAACAACAUAGAGGUAGGGAGAUAGGGGAUUUCCUUGUCUAAUACCAUUCUUUGGAAUAAAGGUAGAGAGAGCUCGUCAUUAACACAAACUUGAUAUCUGACAGAAGAAACACAACUCAUAACCAGCUGAAUGAAGUUACUGGGCAUGCCAAUUUCACCAAGGACCUUUACAAUAAACUUCAAAUUUAAUCUAUCAUAGGCUUUAGAUAGAUCAAUUUUUCAGGCAAUGAAGCCCUUCUUACCCUUAGAACAUUUGAACUUAUGCAUCAAUUCCUGAGCAAUAAGGAUGUUAUCUGUGAUUUGUCUUCUAGAGAUGAAACUAACCUGAUUAGGAUUCAUGAUUUUAGGCAAAAUAGGCCUUAAUCGAGUAACUAGUAAUUUAGAAAUUACCUUAUAAAGAGUGCAACAAAGACUGAUGGGUCUGAACUUGCACCAUGAAGUUGGGGGGGGAGGG
rnacentral:lncRNA from 1 species